rnacentral:snoRNA from 1 species
AUGAUGAGAGGGAACUAAGGGGACAGAUGCCCGUUGACCUGCUCACUGA